AAUACAUAAAAUAUCCAAAAAAGUAAAAGAAAAAUAAAAGAAACUGGAAUGGGAAGAAAGUGAGGGAGAGAAGAAGAGACAGAAGAGAAGGAAGAGGAAAAGGGGGAGGGAAAGGAGGAGGACAGCAUUAAUUAGUUGCAUAUCUAUUUGUUUAUAUAAUUUACUUCAUCUAUCCCUCACAGCUCCAUGGAGUGUAUUAGCGUUAAGCAGAAUAGAGUUUUCACUACAGUUACUGUAAGGAUCGUUAAAGUGGGAAACUUUGGUUUUAUUGCUUUGAUACUACAUUUUACUGAUAUCCAGUUGUACAGAAAUAAGUGACCUGGCCUCAAGCAGUUUCUAAUCCAUAAAGGACAUGCAAAAGUCUCCGUGAAAGGUAUGAGUAUUAUGUGUUUAUCCUUUGAGCAGUGUAAAAAUAACUCCAUUUCCAUAACCGCAAGCAUCUGUACUCCCUGACAGAGCACCAUUUUUUAAUUCCUUUUCUUCCCUGACAAGAAUACAGAAUCAGAAUUUCUUGAACAACCUUGCCAUCCAGCAGAGAAUGUUACUUGUUGCACGGGUUUUGAAGUUAUGGUGAAUCAAUCUGUUCACUUCAUGUGUAAAUUUAGCAAGAUAUUAAUGUCGAUCAGAGUCUUUUCUACUUGGAAAAUCAGAGUGCUGAUACCCAGGUCUUUCUCAGAACUCCAAAUCAAUGGCUGUGAUUUGGGCCCACUUGGCAUACAUUAUGAUGCCUCGUGGAGAUAUGAUGUGCCUGGCUUCAUAUGCAUUGGUCCACAGUGCCUGUUAGACAUGUGGUAGAGUAUGGUAAAGAACUGGGUGUGAAAGAGGUGAUGCUGUGCGUGCUAGAGGAAAUGAUGGAAGGAAGGAAUUGAGAGUUUUCCCUUUCAGCUCACCACUGCUACUUACUUGCAGGCUCUAUAGCUCUAUAGCAUGCAACCAACCAUAGAUCAAGAAUGUUGCAAGAAAGCUUGCAUUGGUGCUGCACAUACAGAUCUUUCCUUGUCACCAGCCUUGAGGCAACAGGACCAACUUGGCUGCUGUGUAUGUAGGACACAUGUUACAGUAGGGUUCAUGGGUCAGCUAUGGAGGCUAAAUACAAAUUCCAUGUCAUUUGACAUAGGACUUGAGCUGGCUCCAAGACUGGAACCAGUCUCUUUGGGGUCCUAAAGGAAGUUCAUACUUUCUAAAAUCAAGUAAAGGAGAUGCUGAGAUUUCAUGGGAAGAAAAUAAUUGGGAAGCUGGAGGAGAAUCGGGGAGCAUUUGCCCCUCUUUGGUUCAAAAAUUCCUAGCCAACGGUUGUGAUUACCUUUUUCUUUCAUACAAAGUAUGAAAGUACAAAGCACAAAAGGAUAGAAUGCGUUUUCUCCCUCUUAAUCCACUCUUUUAAUGUAAGACAUUAAAAACAAAAGUUGUUUCACACAAACCCGAUUAACUCAGAAGAGUCAUAAUCCAUCCAUACAAACAAAGAGCAAGGAAUAAUCAAGCCCUCAUUAUGCAAAAAUGGUAUCAGCUAAUUUAUCACACGGAACUGCACAAGAACCUGUUAACUCCCACAUUACUUUUAUUGGUGCUGAAGCUUAUUUCUCCCAUUGCAUAAAGUCUGGACAUAAUACGAUAGGGUUGGUAUCAUUCCAUUAUUAUAAGGGACAGCUUCAAGUACUUCGCCUACAGAAUCUCUCCGUUUGGAAAAUGUUAAAGGAGGGGAAGGUACAGGCCAGGGGAUUUGUGGCAUUGCUUGAUAGGCCAGCUCUGCUGUGGGUGACUGCUGACUGUCAGUCGCCAUGCAUGGGACAAUGAGCCGUGGAGAAAAAUCAACAUUCUAGUGGGAAGAAAAUCCAAAGAGAGUUUAUGUUCUUUCUCGGGGAAGUGUUGACAUUUUAAUUGCUUUCUGUUUGCUUUGGAGCUACAUUUGAGAAUUGGAAGCCAGUUAGAAAAAUAAGAAUUGGCUUUAUUAGAAAUUAGACGAACUGACAUGCAGGCAGGAGCUGGCACGGGUCCAGGCAUAGCUCUCCACAAAAUGGAGUCUGCAGCAGGACUCAAAGCUGCAGACACGUUCAGCUAUUGAAAAGUUAAGCAGAACAGUUCCUACUGGACUGAGCCUUGUCACUUCCUAGAGUGGACCGUGCUUCUGCACAACCUAUUUUUUUUUUCUGCCAGUCCUUUACUUAAAAUGAUAUUUAACCCAUUAAACUUAAAUAUAUGUUUUUGAAGUAGGGCAGGGAGGGGUGCAAAGAAGAAAAGGAGAGACGCAAUGGUUGGGGAAGUUGGAAAGAUUGAUGGGUGGGCUUCGAAGUAUUUAGAUUUGAAGAUAAUCUGAUAGGUUUGACAGUGCAUAAAAGACCCUCCCCCCACCACCACCAAAACAAAACAAAACAGCAUGAAAACCCUUUGAGAUUGAGAAUGUGGCCAGAGCCAACAGCUCUGAUUUUGUUUGUUCAUGCCUUUUCUCUCUGCACCUGGAGUUUCCUGAGACGGAAUAAGUAUUUAACAAAACCAGGUGCCUACAUGUGCAUUCUGGGAUCAGCCAAUCUAAAAAAUAAUAAUGUGAUCCAAGAGCUAGGAGAAGAGAACUCCCUCAAACUAGCCUUGCAGCGGUGCCUGGAAGGGAGGCACCCGAACACAUAGGCUAUCAUCUUCCCGUGCUGUGCCUUGGCCUCCUCAGCCAUGAUAAUCACCAAGGAAUGUACCAAACACGGGGUUCAGACCGAUCAGUUCAGUGUGAGGUGGGUCAAACCGGUCCCUAAAAAGUACCUAAUGGGGAACUGGAGAGAUGGCUCAGUGGUUAAGAGAAGCCCUGGCUAUUCUUCCAGAGGAGCCAGAUUUGAUUCCCAGUACACACGCACAUGGUGGCUCAGAAACGCCAGGGCCUCCCGUUCCAGUGGAUCCAAAGCCCUUUGUGGCCUCUGUGGGCACCAGUUCCCCACACGGUACACAGACAUACAUGCAGGUAAGCAUCCAUAUGCUUAUUUAAAUAAAUAAAUAUGUUACUUAAAUAAAUAAUUAAAAAUACCUUAUGUUUAUUUUGUACUCUAUAUAAAUGUUCUCCCAAAGUUAUACAGGGAUACUAUGUCUACUGUAGAGUUCUACUAUUUUACAAGGAAAAAUACUGAGGAUCAGGAGACUUUUGUAAGUGUCCAAGCUGUAGCAGCUUUUGUUAUAAAACAUUUGAAACAAAUUGAAAAGACAUAAAAAGUAUAGAGAACCCUCUAUCCUACUUUGCUUAUUCAGAGCCAUUCUUGUUAAUCAAAACCUGCUUCUCCCUGUUACUUAGAAGCAAACACAAGUAUCAUUCUAUUUCAUCAGUUUCUCAUUAAUAUGUCUCUCAACACAAUGAUUCUUUAAAAUAACACAACCACCACAUUUUUACCAAACUAAAAAACCAUCACCAGUUUUCCCCCAUAUUAUCCACUUGGCUAACAUCCCCAUGUGCCUUAUGACUUAUUAUUUUAGAAAGCUGUGUUUGGUUCCUUGACAUGUGUAUAGGGAUUCCUCCAAUUGGUAUGUUCCUCUUCAUUCUUGAUUCCUUCUUGAAAAAUUUUGGUUGAAGAGAUGGAAUUUGUUUUCUCCUGAACACUUUCUAAUAAUCUGAAUUGUUUUAAUCAAUCAUUUCCUGAGAGUUUCAAACAUUUUCACCAUCUUUUUUUUUUUGUUAUAGGUUUUGUAAAUUCAGUUAGAGGUGGCACUAUAUAUAUAUGAUUCAUAUAUAUAUAUAUAUAUAUAUAUAUAUGAUUCUGAUUUUCUACUUUUGGCAAUGUUAAUUGCCCAUAUGUAAAGUAGUGACAUUUCCAUAGGUAGGUGUGUGUGUGUGUGUUUGUGUGUACACUUGUGCAUGUAUGUGUGUGUUUAGAGUCCAAAUAUUAAAGAUUUUCACCUGCAUUCAUUAAUUUAUACAUUAUUGCAAAGUGAUGAUAUAUUAAUUUUGUGGUUUUUACAAGCAUACUAUUUUUUAGGUCAGUUUUAGGCUUAUAGCAAAAUUGAAUGAAAAGUAGCUGAAAUUCUGAUAUACACUGCAUGACCAGCCUCAGCCAAUGUCUUUCCUCAUCACUGGUGCCUUCUCUGGAGUAAUAUAUUUAUUUGCCAUGCCAAUGGCUUUCUUUUAACACUUGAUUAUCACCAUCUGUCCAUCAUUUCACUGGGCUCACUCUUAGAGGUGGGAAUUCUGUGAGUCACGACAAAUGCAAAAUGGCAGACAGUGAGCAAUGACUUCUUUUACCGUUUAUCUGCAGGGAUAGUUCUAAUCACCCAUUACUUUUCUGUCGUAGAAAGUAAAAGGAAGAAGAAGCUGGCUAUCUCCAGAAUUUAUAGUUAAUUCUGGUAGUGGCCAGCCUAGGGUAGAGGUGGACACCACUUUCAGGAAAUAAGUGCAUGGUCAGGCCUAUAAUUUAACCCAUAUUAGGUUUUGCUGUAAAGAGCGUGUGUGACACAGAAGGAGAUACGAUGCGCGCAAAGUGCGGAACUUUGUAUGUGAGAAAAACUAGAGGCGAAAUCCUCAUGAAGGUGGCCCACUACUGAAGCUAACUGCAAGGCAUCCCUGAGCCCACAGUUCUAACACCACCACAGCAAAGAUUCAUCAGUAUUCAGAGACGAGUCCUUUCUUCUACAUGAAGAAAGGAAGGAAUAAAAGAGGAGCGGCUUCUGAAUCGCUCCCUCCAACCACGGAAAUGAUUUUAAUUACCAAUUCAUCUGUUGGCAGACACUUCUGGCAGAUGUACCUGUAACUUGGAAAGAUAACAAGUGAGCCGAUUCCUUACUCCGGGGUUGACACUGAUAGCGCCUGCUGAAUUUCCUCUCAGAAAAGGAGCCCAGGCAACAAUACAUCUGGCACUCUGCGCGAGGAAUUUGUCGUGUCUCUGACAUGUUCAGCCUCUAUUGUCCACGCCACCCCGACAGCAGGACCACACCUGCAGUUCCUCAUUCUCACCUUGGGAGUGUACAGUGAGAGGGAAGUGAGGAAAAUUCUUACCAAGGAACUGAAUUUCUAGCUUCAAAUGUUACAGAAAAUAAAUGUCUGCUGUUUGAGCAACAGAAGACAGAGUAACAUGACUACCAGACUUCUGAUGGUGCAUCAAUCCUUAUCUGGAAUUAUGUUUCAGAAACUGUAGUGGUGGAAAAGGAGGAUGCAAAGGAGGGCUAACACGAUGGGGCAGAUGUUUCCAUGGGAUAAACUUCAGCGGGCCAUUUGACUUUAAUGCACCCUGCAAACCACACAUAUUAAAAAGCUGCAGCCUCAGUUUGUCUUGAGAAGGCCAGAUACAUCUCCUCAAUUUGCAUCUUCACAAAAGGCCAAGAAUGAUCCUCUGGUGUCCAAGUUACUGUAGGAACUAUUUUUCUUGUCUUCUUCAACUUGGGGAAGCUAUCAUUUUCCAAUGAAUAGUCCAGGGGUUUUCAGAGUUAGGUGUGUUUGACCAUCAUGUAUACACACGUAUGUGAGCUGGCAGGAUAGCAGGAGGAUGGAUUAAAAUUCAGAAGCUGGGAAUUUCCCUUGAAGGAUGAAUGAGAGUUUCCAGUCGUGGCAUCCAAAGUACACAAGGUGAGAGUUCUUCCAAAUCUUUCUGACACAUCCCAAAGGCUACCCAAGGAUUAGUGCUCUUUCCAGAAACACAGAUGUUCAAGUCUAGUAGCUGGGAAGAUUGGUUAUACAUGAUGCAUGGAGUGCUUUGAGAAAUGACCUCCCAUUGGCUCAUCCAUUUAAAUACUUGGUCCCCAGUAGGUACUACUUUUUAGGGAGGUUCUGGAACCUUCAGAAGGUGUGGCCUUGCUGGAGGAAGUAUGAUAUUGGGGGCGGGCUCUCAGAGUCUAUAGCUUCACCCUGUUUCCAGUUCUUUCUCUGUUUCCUAUGUUUGGAUGAAGAUGUGAUCAAACAGCUUCCUGCUCCUCCCGCCUGCUAUCAUGCCCUCAUUUCUGUUAUGGGAUCCCACUCUGGAAUUCUAAUUACAAAAUCAGCCUUCUUCUAUAACUUGGUUUUGAUUUUGAUGCUUUUAUCCCAUCGAUGGAAAAGUCAAUGCCAUGCAUAUCUUUUAAAAAGUAAGCACACUUAAUUUAUAUAAAAGGAGAUGAUAUUUUGGGAAAGAGGUCCGGGAGGGCCUGACCAGAAGGCUCAGACUGUUCUGACCCUGUGCGCUUGUCUAUUGGAUUUCCCAGUACUCGUCUUUUCUGGUUUGGACAGAAAAAUUGGUAUCCCACAGUCUCAGGCGAGUUACUUUAUACAAAGGGAUGCAGUACAGAUAGAUAUUUAAGGUGAAAAAUCAUUUAAUAUAGCAAAUAUGUGCCCAUUCUCCAACGAGUUUGUCUUAUUAUGCUAGACGUUCACUAACAUGAUUAUGUAGAGUACAUACACACUUAAACACCCAGAAGCACACAUAGGAGAAAAACAUGUUCUCCAAACUCUAACUGCCCCCUCUCCUCUGUUUUUCCAAAAGAAUAUCAAAGUCUGAACAGAGUGAAAAAGGUUGGUGGAUUCUCAUCCUUAAUUCCCUAGAGUCUACCAAAUGCUGCCUUUGACUUUGCCCAUUUGGUUUUUUUCCCCCCAUGUUUCAGAAAACUCUUAUAGAGUUUGGUCUGAGGAAGAUUGAAGGUGAGGUUUGGUUCCUGCUUGGUUAUUAGGUGUACUCUAGUCUGGUAUUCAAGGAAGGUAGUGCAGACCUCUAGGACUCAGACUGCCUCACAGUUCUUAGAGGACUUUAUUCUGAGAACUUCAGAAUAAGUUGCUUAGGGAAUCAGUUAAGUGGAGUAAAUAUACAGUAUUCAUAUUCUACAAAAGAAUUAUUCUGUCAUAAGACAAGGACAUACUCCUUGAGGAGAAUAUGGAGAAAGGAACAUACAGGAAGAGUAAGGGGGAAAGGACUGAGGAUUCGAGGAUAGACAGACGUACGGACUCAAACCCAGCCUUACUCGCCCUGCAUAAAUCACUUCGCAUCUCAUUAUUCUUCUCAUCUAUUGAAUAAAAGUAGUCUAUCCCCCAUACGGCAAAGGUUCGCUCAGGUACUUUCUGGAAAAGCCUGCACAGUAGCGAGUAACAUGAGUCAUCUGAGACAGUUAUGUCCUUGCUGCUGGGAGCAGAAUGUGGGAACGCUUGCUUGCUGUCCUUUCUGGGGAAGCUCACUCGACUUUCCACCUCUUCUGGUCUUAGGUAGGAUUGUUUUUAUUAGUCCUCCUAAUGCUAAGCUUACAUAAUGUUUUGAAGGAAUUUGUUGCUUAAGGAUAUCUUCAAUUAAUAUUAUUACCAAGAACCAGAUUUCAUUUCUGCCUAUUUUUCAUAGUGCAGUAACUGAAGCGUUUUUCUUAGUUUGUUGAAAUCAUUUUUUUUUUAACCUCUUAAAACAAAUCAACGUUCACAGGAAACCUGUGUGGCAAUGUUUCUUUUUAUCACGUUGUUGUUUUUGAACACCCAGGAAGGAUGUCAGUUUUAUAUGCAAAACAGUAGCCUUUAUGUGGAGGGCGUUUUUGGUUUUUGUUUUUUCUAAAAGUCUAGAACUACUACAAAUUUGAAGAAAAACGCCUUGCUCUCCUUGGAAUCAGAGUGAAAUCCAAAUCUAUAGUAACACGUCAUGUCAUUAGCUCUUGAGAAAAGUAAACUCCACUCUCAGGGGAAGGCAGUGUCUAGCAGUCAGGCACUUCCUCUUCCUUCCCUUCAGCAGGCUGCCCAGGGGACCCAGGAGGGUGGGGCUGCCCAGGGACCCAGGGGGUGGGCGGGGCUACAGCUUCACCCUUGUUCAGUCUCCGCAAAGCUGUCUUUCCUUCCUCUCCCCUCUCCCAUCCCUGCAUUGUUCCAGCUGCCAAGCCCUCAGUAUUUUCACCCAGCAAGAGGAAGAGAAGGGCAGAAUGGCUUUGAAAGAAUAACAUUUCUUUUUAUGCACUUAAAUAGAACACCCGACAGAAGACAUCCUGUGUUUCCUUUCAUGGACGAAAGGCUCCUUGUAGUGACAAGAGAAGCAAAAAAACCCCCCAGGGUUUGCUAUUUGGGUAGGUGGUGUUGUGGUCAUAUUCUGCUGAUGGCGAAUACUACUCUGCUAUUUUAAAUGACAGCCUGCUGUCUUCUCCCACACACUGCCAUCCCCCUGUGGGCAGCCACACCUGUCAUUCUGCUGUAUUUAUAUUUAUUAUUUUUUUUACACCGAUUCUGAAGUCCAUGCUCACUGUCCAUGAAUGUGAGCAUGUUUUGAGUUUUCCUCUCUAUGGAGUACUUGCUUGAAACUCAGAGCCUGGCAGGAGGCGGGCACUCAAGAAGUAUUUGUAGCACAAAAAAGAAGAUCUGGUUUCCUAUACAGUGCUCUCAUAUGUAAUCAGAGGAAAGUAACUGGCAAAAUAAGGUAGCAAGGGCUGGGUAGGUGGCUCAGUCAGGAAAGUGUGUGCUGCACAACAAUGAGAUAAUUUACACAACACACACACACACACACACACACACACACACACACACACACACACACACACCAUAUAAUUUGAUUCCAGAGACUGUUGUUUUGAUUCAGGACCAUCUUUCAUGUUUUUAAAUCAAAUAAAAAGAAGUUCUUAAUUUUCUUACAUUGCAUCUUUUGUAAUCUGCAAAAUCCAAACAAUGCCAUCUAAUCUGUGAAUAUAGUGGGAGAAUAGAAAGGACCGGCAGAGUCGCUGAGCAGUCAGUGGUGGCUGUCAUUACAACUAACUACUUACUGCUUUUAGCAGCAGCAGCCUGGGGUGGGCAAACCAUAGCUCGUAGGCUGGGUCUAGCUUGUGGCAUGUUUUUAUAGGGAUACCAGAGCUUUACUGGACACAACUCAGAUGCCAGUAGUUGUACGAGUCGGGAAUACUGCGUGCGAAGCCUAGAACUAGCUACUCUGGCCUUAAGGCUAGGUCCAUCGAAGCAUGUUCCAUGGUUGAUCCCCAAGCUGCUACCACUGUUCUGUGACAGUGAUUAAACAUUCAGAAACAUCUGAACAUACCUUCCAUUAAAGGCUAAGUUCAUUGUUUGCCUUCUGAAAAACAAAACAAAACACAGACAAAAAAAAAAAAAAAACAUCAUUCUCUUACAGAAGAUUGGAAAUAAAAAUCCAAAAAUACAACAACCAAAAAGUAACACAAGAAGCCCAGUCAUCCCCACUGGAAUGGAAUCUAAUAUUUUGUAAUGGGAUUUUGCUGUCCCAGUGACUUAGUAAGACAUGCUCACGUGCUUGCUGAUGGAAACAUGCGGAAACCUAUCAGGUGUGAAUGACAAGCAUGUCGUGAGAUUGCAAGUGACCUGGGAAGGCUGAUGAGCAUGCACAUUAAUAACGUCAUGCUAAUGGACUUCCUAUGCAGAUAAUGGGCCAGCCACAGUUCACUCAUCAGCUAAUACAGUUGUAAUGCAUUGUUUCGUAUCUGAGAGAAGGCAGCCACCUUCGGAUACUACAGAUGCCUCCUGCACACACACGAAUAAUCAUUCCCUUUUGAGGUAAAUAUAUUUUAAACCGAUCAGGUAUCACCUCUGCCAACUUUCCUGGAAAUCCAGGCAAAUAACAUUUCUAUGACAGCCCUCAUGUUUUUGUCGAAUGUGCACAUUAAAAACAAAAGAAAGAAAGAAAGAAAAAAAAAAAGCAGACCGAUUUUUUCCUUUCCUCUUUUAGAAACUGUUCCAAGUAGUCAAGCCUGCCAAGAAAAACAGACAAACUCUCAAGAACAACAAUGCCUAUUAUGUGUGGGGUGGGCACUGCCAGACUCUGAUUACUGUCCAGACAUUAACCCCUGGGAGUGUCUUAGGGAAGAAAGACCAAGUUGGAAUCCAGACAUUUCCAGAAUUCUACAGACAUUCAUGGUGUGAGAACUUGGGUUUUUAUAGUAAGUACUGACAGAGGGACAGAUAACUUAAAGGGCCCAUCGCCCCUGCCCUAGAUGUUGUCAGGCCUCAUUCUUCCAAGCAGACUGGACAGAACUCCUUGCCUCUGUCCUUCUCUUUGUGAGCUUGCCUGAUGAUGUGUGAAUAGAUACCCCUUCCUGCUUCUUCCCACAUGUGGUGUACCCCACCCCACCCCACCCCAGGUCAGACCCCCCAGGUCAGAGGAAAUCAUCAAAUUCUGCAACCAUAGAGGAAACUCUGUGGGUUCCUUAAGGUCACCACUUCAUAGUUAGGCUGCUAGAAACAAACUGAAAGAAACAAACAAAAGCUCUUGUAAAAGUUUCUUUCUCUUCCCCACACAUCCUUGGCAGGCCAACAGUCUCUGAUCUCAGAUAAAGAGAGGACAAUGGUGCUCCCACUGAGAGGGUGAUAUAAUGUGUAAACAGAAUAUCUAGCAUAUGCCUGUACACUGUAGUCAUACAUACUAUGUGUCUGUGUGGUAUUUCUCUUGUUUAUAUGUAUAUGUAUAUAUGCACACAUACAUAUACACUUUGGAGUGGAUGAACAUGUCAAGUUAAUUAUGACCAUUAAGCUUACCAUUUGUUGAGAGCUAAUUCACACCAAAGUUUCAUUUAUUCCUAAAAAACAAUUCAGAAAUGGCCCCAUUUUGCCUAUUAAUAAAUUCAUUCCUAGGCCUGGAAGUGUGAGUGAGUAGGACAGCACAUCCCUGGGAAAUUCAGUUCCCCCAAGUUCAGGGGACCACAGGUUGUCAGUGUCAGUGUCCGUGACCAACAGUGUCACUGAUACAAGGCACAGCUGUUGUUUCCUUCCUAAAGAUGAGCAAAAAUGUAAAAUGACAUUAAAGUCCUUUCUUGCAAAAUUAUAUUCUGGUUGGAGAGAAGUGGGCACCUUACAGAUUGAAAAGAAGGUGGGAGAGGGUGGGCAGAAUGCCAUACUUGACCUGUGCCUCCCUGGCACAGAUACUUAUGAAUCAGUGGCAGAGGCGAGCUCCUUUAGCCACUGGGUAUGCAUGUGUCGUGCAAUGUGGGACUUAUAAGAGGGAUUUCUAUUACACAGAAUGGGAGGAAUGAGUAGACUGUCUCUACUUACUGUAUCUUUAUGUUACCUGUCGUUGAUAACCUUUGGGCCACUGAUGCUGUGCUAAAAGGAAACCCCCCCCCCCAAAUGGCAAAGUCAGCUUAGCAAGAUGAAUGAUGACGUCUAGAGGGGUCACUGCAGAUACAAAAGCAUGCUGAACUUUCUGUUCAUUGAAAUGAUAAGAUUCUAUAGGCUAACCAUUUCAGAGAAGAGACACCUGUUCUCAGGAUGUGAAAAGGCACCUUGGGUGGGGGACCAAGAGGAAUUGAACCCAUUGUUUCCCUUGUUUGUUUCACCUUGAACGCACAGCUGCUUAUGCUCCCCCCCCCCAGACACGUAAACAUAUAAACAAGGAAUGUAGCACCCUUUAGUUCAGAGGUUCGAAACCUGUGGGCCUCGACCUCUUUGGGGAAUCACAUAUCAGAUAUCCUGCAUAUUAGAUAUUUACAUUAUGAAUCAUAACAAUAGCAAAGUUACAGUUAUGAAGUAGCAAUGAAAUAAUUUUAUAGUCUGGGGUCCCCACAAUAAGACGAACUGUAUUAAAGACUUAGAGCAUUAGGAUGGUUGAGAACCAUUGCAGUAGCCCAUUCUAAGGAAGGGGUCACUCUUUGGUAACAUUGGUCAAUGCAGCAUCCUCAGAGCAGGGAACCCUUUUGUAGCUGAGGGAGGGAUCUGGUUCAAAAAUAAGAGAACAAUAAGCUUCCUACCAGGCUGCUUCUAAACCUUACUAUUCUGCCCUGGACUGAUAAAAGGCAGUGUAUGUGGAUGUGACCUGGAUCCUGGACAGCCAUCCUACCUUAGUUCUUUGGAAUUUCACUCUGAAAAAGCAAGGCCUGUCUUUGACAUUUAGGGGUUUAGGAUGUCAGACUGAAAACAUUCCCGGACUGGUGGUAAUAAUUCUGGCUUCUGUACCUAUUUUAAAGAAGAAUAGUAGAUUCUCUUAUAUUCUUUUUGGUGUCUUCUUAGCUGCUACAUGAUUUAACGAAACAUCUAGUUCCUCGUUUUUAAAGUGUAUUCAGAGUUGGCAUAUGAUUCUGGAAUAUUUACCAGAAACCCUGCCCAUUUUUUCCAAAGGGCGUGGGCCAAACGCCCGUCAUUAAAACCUGAAGUGAUUGGAUGGACAUGAAGAAGAGGAAUAGGCCUGCGUGCGAGAAAAUAACUGUCUGAGAUUUCCUGGGUCUCAAACAAUGAGGCAGCUGCUUUCCUAUAAACACAUGAUUAUUAUUAUUUCUACCUAGACAGCUUGAUAGCAGGCAUUAUCUUCUCUCUGAGUGUCUUAUCAAGUUCUGGCUGUGUGAGCGUGGGUGAUAAGGGGUAAGAAAUGUCACCCAUGGGACUGUCGAGGACUAUUUCCAUGCACAGCAGCCAGUGUCUCGGAACUGAAAGGGAGUCCUAUUGUUCACUCAGGCCCUCCCUCUUCUGACUACGCCAGGAGUGAAGGAAAGAAGAUGGGGCUGCUAUUGUGUGGGGGAUUGAAAUUUCAUUACUCUCAGUUGCACGUCAAGCAGCCUUGAUUUUUGAAAAGCAGGAUCAUCGUGGAAUAUCUUUGAAGGGAGAGAAGAAGAAUAAAAUGAGCUCAGAGCUUCUCAGAACUGUGAGGCGGGGUGAAAAAAAAAAGAGAAUGUGGCAUUCUCAAAUAUCGGGACUUAAGACCCGAGACACAUGAGCCCCAGAGUGCCUGAGCACUAUCCCUAGCUACAGUGUGGGAUCCAGUUCUUAAUGUAUACUCUCUGUCCUGGACCACUCAUCAGAAAAGUCAGGUUUUCAGAUUGCCGUUUCAUUGUUUCUGUCUCAGACUGAGUUCUGGGAAGGAAUUAAUCUGCUCUUGCAAUUAAACUUAAUUAUGGGUGUUCUGCCUCUGAAUAUUUGAGAGGAAAAAAAAUACAAUCUCUUUCUAUUUUUGUUUCACCUUUUUAGUUUUCUAGCCUUAUAUUUUCUUUGAGAAAACGUGACGUCAGGAAGAAGAGAAAAAUGUGACAAAGUCGUGCUAUGUUCAUAUAGCGUUCCCUAUAAAGUGUGCAAACCCUUGAGUCAUCUUGGUGCAGUGUUAUGGUUACGUUGAUGUUUCAAUGCAGGAUACUUGGGAAAGAACCAACUCGACCCCCCUACCCCCACCCCCACCAUUUUAAAUCACUGUGGUAAGUGGAAUUUCAAAUGGAUAAGAUACUUCGCUCUUAAACCAACACAAAUGAAAUCUUAGCCAUGGAGUUGCUGAGAUAGGGAAAGAAUCAGGUUGAGGAAGAAAGGCCAAAGAGAAGGCACAAAGUGGCAAGGGCCAUGUGGGGAAGGACACAAUGGCUUUGGCCCCUCCUGACAUGUGACUGCAGGGCGGGGGUCUCCCAUCUGUGUUCCUGUAGCAACCUUAUCUGAAAUGAGUAUUGGGGACACACUUGUUAGUCGAGUUAGUGAAAAGAAGCAGGCUAUCAGUGUUGAGAUACGGGAGGAAUGCUAUGUCAACUAGGGAGAUUACUUCCUGUUGUUUGAGACGGUGUCUCUCUAUGGGGCUGAGUCUGGCCUGGAAUUUGUAAUCGUUUGAAUCAGCCUCUCUAAUGUGGUAGGGUUACAGGUGUGUACCACCAUGCCUGCCUCAACUAUUCUGGUUUCUUCAGCCCUUAAGAAUUUACCAGGAGGCCUAGAUCGACAACUAUUAAACGCUUUUAAAAAGAUACUAAUUUAUUAUCUUUAAAGAACAUUUUAAAUGUAUGCCUUGACAAUUUUAUCCAUGCCUACAGUGUAGAUGAAUACCCACCAAAUCCCUCCCCAUCCUUUAUCAAAUAACAGUAGUGUGUUCACCCUAGGACUUUCCCAGACACUGGCUUUUGAGCAAGUUUAUACUGCCAGAUACAAACCCGCCUGGGGGACUGGCCUUGAAGCCAAUCAGAAAGUGGUUGGUUGACCCCACAAUAGUCAUGCGAGUAUUGCAUCACUGGGUGUAUCUUGCCUGGCGGGUUAGUCUUGUUGCAUGGAGAGGCCCCAGGUAAGUAAGGUUGCUAUUGGUAAUUCUCCCCCAGCAGCCUGGGUAGCAUCUUAGGGCACUAUGAAAUCUAUCAUCAGAGAAAAGAUUUCAGCUUGAUUUCUCUCAGCCCUAUAACCAUAGUGCAUGGUGUCUUUAGCAGUAUGGUAUUACCAUUUGGUUAUUGCGAAUAACCGAGAGCAGAGCCGAGAGCUUGUGUUGUUUUGGGGCAUCAACAACUGACAGGGAGGUAUCUUAUGCCCAACACUGGGAUUUUUGUUCAAUAACCCAUGCCUUCUCGUGGACAAUCAUUUAUUGUCCACUCCUGUAGCUCACCCCCAUCCAAACUCUUUUUUCUUUUUUUUUUUUUUCUUUUUUUUUCGGAGCUGGGGACCGAACCCAGGACCUUGCGCUUCCUAGGCAAGUGCUCUACCACUGAGCUAAAUCCCCAACCCCCAAACUCUUUUUUCUUAUAUUUUUGAUUGUGAGCCCAGUCUUCAAGGGUCGAUCCAUCUCUCCAGCUUAAACUCCUUCUUUUCAAAAACUAUAUUUUUAAAUUAAUCACCUUACAAAAUAGUGGCCUUUCAUACAUCUUUAAAACCAUUACAUUCUUGUUGUUAGUGAAUCCACUCCAUCUUCUCUCUGCUCUACUGCCUUGUUUCAUUCCCCCUUAAACUCUUAACCCUUAGCAGCAUUCAUUUCUUCUUCUUCUUCUUCUUCUUCUUCUUCUUCUUCUUCUUCUUCUUCUUCUUCUUCUUCUUCUUCUUCUUCUUCUUCUUCUUCUUCUUCU